rnacentral:lncRNA from 1 species
CUGGCAUGUAGAUUUUAACAAAGGCAGCCCUCUGUAGACCCAUAAUUUAGCAUUCAUUGAAUUCUCCUAUUGCUUUUUAAGCUUUGAUAUGCAUAUUUCAUUGCAUCAGAUGCUUUCUUUUUCAGAGAUGUAGCACCUUUUAAAACUGAUGUUAAAAUGUUAAUUUGCACUAGGUAAGUGGCCUGGAGGAUAGAGGUCAAAGGUUUUGCCUUUAUUAAGGCUUCAAUUAGUAACAGGUGAACUCAGGAACACCCCAGCUGGUUUCCCUGAGUGUAGUUGCUAGGGGUUGGAUUGCAAAACAAGGAGUGUCCUAUUCCAAGUUCAAGUUUGUUUUCUGCUUUCCACGAAGGGACUUGAAAGCUUUCUCCAAACAUCUCACCUGCUCAAGAGCAAUUUGCAUUAAUGACAAGGAGAGCACUAUCAAACUACAUCAAAUGUGGGAUUUGUGGAUGGUUCUGAGGAGCAACUCGGAAAGGAGUGGAUGAUUAACAGAUUUGAAGAGGAUCUAUUACUUUGCUGCACAUAUUUCAGAUAUCAUCAUUCCUUGGGGAAUAAGAAGACGCAAAACAUCAUUGAAGGUCUAAUUCUCUGGGGCAGAGGUGGGAGAGAGAAUUUGCCAGUCAAAUUUAAAUCACCUUUUACUUAG